GGAGAGGUGCCGGAGCGGUUGAACGGGGCGGUCUCGAAAACCGUUAUGCCCGUAAGGGCAUCGAGGGUUCGAAUCCCUCCCUCUCCGCCA
rnacentral:tRNA from 1 species